rnacentral:piRNA from 1 species
UGAUAAGGAAUAUCGGAAUGCUGUGA